AUGGGGACUUCCCGGAGCAAACCGGCGCGGGAGUGGCCGCCGGCGCCGCCACCGGAGCCUAGGGUGGAGGUGCCGCCCCUCAUCGAGCCCCCUCCCAACGCCGCCCGCACCAGUGAUCUGUAUAAUCCAGGUACCGUUGCGCACUUUCUUGUGUCAACGGCGAAACCCACUUUGAAGUUAAGCGUUCAUUUUCCUGAGGGUGGUAUUGGUUCCUUUGCGACAAUUCCUUUGCAAGCUGGAAACAGCAUGCUUUCAGAAAAUAAUAGCGUUAUCGGUUUAAGAUAUGAUUCCCAGAAUCUAUCAUUGGGGGCAUCUGUUGUGCCAUUUCUCUGUAAUAUGCUCAUAUUACCUUUCUUUGCAGUACCCGGCGAGGAACCCUCUAUGGUUCCCUAUGGUGCAUGGUUAGUUGGAAGAAUAGGGGGAUUAAGUGCAGGGGCACAAUACAAGCCACUUAGUGACUGGCUUAGCACUCCAACAGAUGGAAGCAUGAAUUGUUUGCCUUUUGAGGACUUGAAGAACUGGGAUUAUGCAAUCAGUUAUGAUGUGGGAUCAGCUAGCCCACUAAGCCCCUCACUAAAUUUUUCUCUAGAGCUUGUCAGAAGUACACAGCUGGUCGCAUCAUUCUAUCAGCACCAGGUUGUCCUAAGGGAGGUAUCACCUGCUACGUGCCAUGUUAGUAAAGUAAAAGGAGGUCCUCGUUUUGAAGAUGCAGACGAAAUUGUAAACUACAUUGAUUUUGGUGUUGAACUAGCCACAAGGGUGGGUAAGGACAAACCAACAGACGAUGCCGACAAUUCCUCGUUUCAGAUAGCUGCAAACUGGCAGGCCAAUAAGAACUUCCUAGUAAAGGGGAAGUUAGGGCCCUCCAAAUCUUCUGUAGCUUUGGCAUUCAAGUCUUGGUGGAAACCCAUGUUUACAUUUAGCUUCACAGCUGUGAAUGAUCAUUCCAAGGGUACAAGAGGGUACGGAUUUGGAAUCCAUGUCGACGAUCAGAGAGACCCAGAUUCCAGCCAUCUCCUCUAG
rnacentral:rRNA from 1 species